GACGAACGCUGGCGGCGUGCCUAAUACAUGCAAGUAGAACGCUGAAGGAGGAGCUUGCUUCUCUGGAUGAGUUGCGAACGGGUGAGUAACGCGUAGGUAACCUGCCUGGUAGCGGGGGAUAACUAUUGGAAACGAUAGCUAAUACCGCAUAAUAGUAGAUGUUGCAUGACAUUUGCUUAAAAGGUGCAAUUGCAUCACUACCAGAUGGACCUGCGGUGUAUUAGCUAGUUGGUGGGGUAACGGCUCACCAAGGCGACGAUACAUAGCCGACCUGAGAGGGUGAUCGGCCACACUGGGACUGAGACACGGCCCAGACUCCUACGGGAGGCAGCAGUAGGGAAUCUUCGGCAAUGGACGGAAGGCUGAACGAGCAACGCCGCGUGAGUGAAGAAGGGUUUCGGAUCGUAAAGCUCUGUUGUAAGAGAAGAACGAGUGGGAGAGUGGAAAGUUCACACUGUGACGGUAUCUUACCAGAAAGGGACGGCUAACUACGUG
rnacentral:rRNA from 1 species